rnacentral:rRNA from 1 species
UACCCGCUGAGUUUAAGCAUAUCAAUAAGCGGAGGAAAAA